rnacentral:rRNA from 2 species
UUUAGUAAACGGAAGCUUCGGUGGAAGAUUACUAAUGAGAGUGGCGAACGGGUGAGUAACGCGUGAGCAACCUGCCUAUGACAGUGGGAUAGCCUCGGGAAACCGGGAUUAAUACCGCAUAAAAUCGUAGAAACACAUGUUUUAACGGUCAAAGAUUUAUCGGUCAUAGAUGGGCUCGCGUCUGAUUAGCUAGUUGGUGAGGUAACAGCCCACCAAGGCGACGAUCAGUAGCCGGUCUGAGAGGAUGAACGGCCACAUUGGAACUGAGACACGGUCCAAACUCCUACGGGAGGCAGCAGUGGGGAAUAUUGCACAAUGGGGGAAACCCUGAUGCAGCGACGCCGCGUGAACGAAGAAGGUAUUCGUAUCGUAAAGUUCUGUCCUAUGGGAAGAUAAUGACAGUACCAUAGAAGAAAGCUCCGGCUAAAUACGUACCAGCAGCCGCGGUAAUACGUAUGGAGCGAGCGUUGUCCGGAAUUAUUGGGCGUAAAGGGUACGCAGGCGGUUUAAUAAGUCGAAUGUUAAAGAUCGGGGCUCAACCCCGUAAAGCAUUGGAAACUGAUAAACUUGAGUAGUGGAGAGGAAAGUGGAAUUCCUAGUGUAGUGGUGAAAUACGUAGAUAUUAGGAGGAAUACCAGUAGCGAAGGCGAC